GCAGGUUAUAUUAUAAUCACAGUUUAGCAUGUUCUUUAGUACUCCUUACUCUAUGUAGCUGCCCUAGCACACUGUAGACCCUUAUACUAGAGAUGUACCACGCAUAACCGGCUUGUAUUGCAUGUCUCUCUCUGGCACUUCACUUAGAUUCGCCUGUCCGUAAGUUAUUCUAUACAUUUCCUAAAAAUAUGCAUGACUACUCUAUGUGCCAUACAAGUUUAGUUUACAC